rnacentral:rRNA from 1 species
CUACGGGAGGCAGCAGUGGGGAAUAUUGCACAAUGGAGGAAACUCUGAUGCAGCAACGCCGCGUGGAGGAUGACACUUUUCGGAGCGUAAACUCCUUUUAUAUAGGAAGAAGAUGACGGUACUAUAUGAAUAAGCGCCGGCUAACUCCGUGCCAGCAGCCGCGGUAAUACGGAGGGCGCAAGCGUUACUCGGAAUCACUGGGCGUAAAGAGCGUGUAGGCGGAUUAAAAAGUCAGAAGUGAAAUCCUAUAGCUUAACUAUAGAACUGCCUCUGAAACUCUUAAUCUAGAAUGUGGGAGAGGUAGAUGGAAUUUCUGGUGUAGGGGUAAGAUCCGUAGAGAUCAGAAGGAAUACCGAUUGCGAAGGCGAUCUACUAGAACAUUAUUGACGCUGAGACGCGAAAGCGUGGGGAGCAAACAGGAUUAGAUACCCGCGUAGUC